UACGUAGGGUGCAAGCGUUGUCCGGAAUUAUUGGGCGUAAAGAGCUCGUAGGCGGUCUGUCGCGUCGGAUGUGUAAAUCCAGGGCUUAACCCUGGACCUGCAUUCGAUACGGGCAGACUAGAGUUCGGUAGGGGAGACUGGAAUUCCUGGUGUAGCGGUGAAAUGCGCAGAUAUCAGGAGGAACACCGGUGGCGAAGGCGGGUCUCUGGGCCGAUACUGACGCUGAGGAGCGAAAGCGUGGGGAGCGAACAGG
rnacentral:rRNA from 1 species